rnacentral:rRNA from 1 species
AUUGAACGCUGGCGGCAGGCCUAACACAUGCAAGUCGAGCGGAUGAAGGGAGCUUGCUCCUGGAUUCAGCGGCGGACGGGUGAGUAAUGCCUAGGAAUCUGCCUGGUAGUGGGGGAUAACGUCCGGAAACGGGCGCUAAUACCGCAUACGUCCUGAGGGAGAAAGUGGGGGAUCUUCGGGCCUCACGCUAUCAGAUGAGCCUAGGUCGGAUUAGCUAGUUGGUGGGGUAAAGGCCUACCAAGGCGACGAUCCGUAACUGGUCUGAGAGGAUGAUCAGUCACACUGGAACUGAGACACGGUCCAGACUCCUACGGGAGGCAGCAGUGGGGAAUAUUGGACAAUGGGCGAAAGCCUGAUCCAGCCAUGCCGCGUGUGUGAAGAAGGUCUUCGGAUUGUAAAGCACUUUAAGUUGGGAGGAAGGGCAGUAAGUUAAUACCUUGCUGUUUUGACGUUACCAACAGAAUAAGCACCGACUAACUUCGUG